AACGUAGGACACAAGCGUUAUCCGGAGUUACUGGGCGUAAAGCGCUUGUAGGCGGUCCACCAAGUUUGGGGUGACAGUUGCCGACUUAAUCGGCAAAGUGCCUCAAAGACUGGCGGACUUGAGGGCCACAGAGGGACAUGGAACUCCAGGUGUAGUGGUGAAAUGUGUUGAUAUCAGGAGGAACACCCAUGGCGAAGGCAGUAGACUGGGCAUCUCCUGACGCUGAGGCGCGAAAGCGUGGGUAGCAAACAGG
rnacentral:rRNA from 1 species